rnacentral:rRNA from 1 species
AGUGAACGCUGGCGGUAGGCCUAACACAUGCAAGUCGAACGGCAGCACAGUAAGAGCUUGCUCUUACGGGUGGCGAGUGGCGGACGGGUGAGGAAUACAUCGGAAUCUACUUUUUCGUGGGGGAUAACGUAGGGAAACUUACGCUAAUACCGAAUACGACCUACGGGUGAAAGCAGGGGAUCUUCGGACCUUGCGCGAUUGAAUGAGCCGAUGUCGGAUUAGCUAGUUGGCGGGGUAAAGGCCCACCAAGGCGACGAUCCGUAGCUGGUCUGAGAGGAUGAUCAGCCACACUGGAACUGAGACACGGUCCAGACUCCUACGGGAGGCAGCAGUAGGGAAUAUUGGACAAUGGGCGCAAGCCUGAUCCAGCCAUACCGCGUGGGUGAAGAAGGCCUUCGGGUUGUAAAGCCCUUUUGUUGGGAAAGAAAAGCAGCAGGUUAAUACCCCGCUGUUCUGACGGUACCCAAAGAAUAAGCACCGGCUAACUUCGUG